rnacentral:lncRNA from 1 species
UUCCAGAGUUACUCAAUAUGAAUAGCAACGGCGGUGGAGAGGAGCCACACUUUCCUCACCUUUAAUUGUAAAGUAAUUCAGAAAAAGAAAGAAAUUCUACUAGUCAUUACGAUGAUGUCAGCUGAAAAGACUUGAAGACUGCAGAUGAAUCAAAGGCAGGAGUGUCUCCAUGGCUGGGGAAAGAAAUCAUCUGAAGUCAUCUUCAUUCACAUGUUUAGCUGUUGAUACUGCCUGUUGUCAGGACUCUCAGCUGGGGCUGUCCCAUGGAAACUUAUGUAUGGCCUCUCCAUGUAGCCUGGGUUGCCUCACAGCAUGACGGCCUUGGACAUCUUACCUGGUGCUCAGGGCUCCAAAGGGGCUGGUGCUGUAUGCUUUUGGAUAGUAGAUGGAGGAAAACAAGAAAAAGUGGUCAUGGUGCAAUAGUCAUCUGAUACUUUCAACAUUUACCAUGGCUUCCAUUCGCUCUACAGACUCCAGAUGAACUCGGUUUUCCAAUAUCAACUCUACCAAUCCCUACCCUCCAGUACCAGGACGUUCAGCAUAGCUGAAGGAUGUCACAAAAUUAUGAUGUAGUAUUCUCUAUGUUUUUCUUAAGUUGUAACUUCACUUAAGUUUCAUAGGUACUUAGCAAUUUUUGUAUACUUCUUGCUGCAAGAAUCAUGGUGACUGUUUCAAGGAUCUUACAAUUUGCUUUUGCCAUUUAGUAUAGUCUGCCUUAUGUUUUAUGUGUGUGUGUUUGUAUGUGUAUAAUUUCUGACUACAUCCUAGAGCUUGGUCCUAAGUUUUAAUAAAUUUUUACAGCCUCUAAGUCCAUAUUUAUUUAACAAAUAUUUAUUGAAUAAAUUAUAUGUGUUAGACAUGUUAUAAACAUAAAGAA